CAGCCGCCGCGGGAAUGCGAAGGGGGCUAGCGUUGCUCGGAAUGACUGGGCGUAAAGGGCGCGUAGGCGGCUUGUACAGUCAGAUGUGAAAUUCCUGGGCUCAACCUGGGGACUGCAUUUGAUACGUACGGGCUUGAGUGGAGAAGAGGGUUGUGGAAUCUCCAGUGUAGAGGUGAAAUUCGUAGAUAUUCGGAAGAACACCAGUGGCGAAGGCGGCUUACUGGCUCAUACUGGACGCUGAGGUGCGAAAGCGUGGGGAGCAAACAGGAUUAGAUACCCCCGUAGUCCCUGUCUCUUAUAC
rnacentral:rRNA from 1 species